rnacentral:lncRNA from 1 species
UGUUGGUGUUAAUCCAAGUGUUUUGGUGUCAAAACACUGGAGGGCAGUUGACAGCAGCAGCAAGACCGAGUCUUUUGGAACGUAACUGAUGGAGUAAAUCGUGGGAGUUACGUUGGAGACUUUAUGAGGAUUUUUAGGAGUUACGUGGGAAUAAAGAGUGUGUUUAAUACGUGGGAUUAUUGCAUUAAUGUUCAUAGUUAGUGGUUCCUUGUUUUUAGCUACUAGUUAUUGUAGUUGCUUUUAAAUAGUAUUGUUUUUCCUUUCUGCAGAAAAAAAAGAGAAGAGAUUAGAAGUUGAGAUUAUCUUUCUUUCCUCAAGAGAUCAUAUUUGAAUAAAACACUUUAUUCAUUGGUCCAAUUUUUCUUCCGUUUAUCUUUUCUAUUUUCAUUCUAUCUCUGCAUAUUUUUCGUUCUUCUGUUCUAUUUCUUCACUGUCACUGUCUUGACAGCGAACUUGGGCGUCUUGACAAAGAGCAUUUGGGUCCUUCAAUUGGUAUCAGAGCAGGUUUUUUCUUGUAUGCCCAAGUAUAUUCGGUUGAAGGAGAUGUCGAUCAUCACAAGUGAGGCGUCACAAUCACAGGAAAGUGGUGGUGGCUCUUUCCAGUACCCGAAGUUGACGGCGACAAGCUACACAAGCUGGGUGAUCCGUGUCAAGGCAAUGAUGGAGGAUCAAAGCAUGUGGGAGGCCAUUGAACCAACGGCCGAAGGUGUUGUCGACCCGAAGAAGGACAAGAAGGCGAUUUCACAUUUGUUUCAGGCCCUCCCAGAAGAUAUCCUAAUGCAGGUGGCUAUGAAAAGGUCCGCAAAGGAGGUUUGGGAUUGUCUCGAGACGAGAUAUGUUGGAGCUGAACGUGUGCGGGAUGCACGCAUGCAGACGUUGAAGAACGCAUUUGAUUCUAUGCGGAUGAAUGAAGAUGAGAGUCUAGAUCAAUAUGUUGGUCGUCUUACUACCAUGGCUGUCAAGUACUCAAGUGUUGGUGGAACACUUGACGAUGCUGUUAUGGUGAAGAAGCUGUUUGACACGACACCGGAAAGGUUUAUCAGUGUCAUUGCUGGAAUUGAGCAAAUAUGUUGGAGUUGAACGUGUGCGGGAUGCACGCAUGCAGACGUUGAAGAACGCGUUUCAUUCUAUGCGGAUGAAUGAAGAUGAGAGUCUAGAUCAAUAUGCUGGUCGUCUUACUACCAUGGCUGUCAAGUACUCAAGUGUUGGUGGAACACUUGACGAUGCUGUUAUGGUGAAGAAGCUGUUUGACACGACACCGGAAAGGUUUAUCAGUGUCAUUGCUGGAAUUGAGCAGUUUUAUGAUCUGACAAAGAUGUCGUUCGAGGAAGCUCUGGGUCGUCUCAAGGCGUUUGAUAAGCGUACUCGUAGGGGGCAUGGAUCCGGAAGUGCGGGGGAGCUGAAAUUGCUUCUUACUCGGGAGGAGUGGGAGGCUAAGUACAAAAGACAAGGCGGAGACUCGCUGUCAACACAGAAGAACAAGUCCGAGACUUCUGAUGGAGGCAACCGUGGACGAGGAGGACAUGGUCACGGCCGAGGCAGAGGAGGACGUGGAGGAUCAUCACACAAAGAUAGUACGAGUGGCUUGGGAGAGAACAACCGUGACAAGAGCCAUGUAAAUCAGUUAAUUAAAUAAUCACUUCUCACAAAGAUGGUACGAGUGGCUUGGGAGAGAACAACCGUGACAAGAGCCAUGUUCGGUGUUUCAAGUGUGAUGAGAUUGGCCACUAUGCAAAUCGGUGAAAAGCUCCCAAGAAGAAGAAGGAGAAAGAGGAAGCCAAUUUUGCAGACCAUAAACCUGCGUUGUUGAUGGCAGUAGCAAGCGAGUGUUGUCUUGACACCGAGGGGCGUUGUCAUGACACCGAAGAGCGUUGUCUUGACAACGAUGAACAGAAGGUUAUUUUGUUCAACGAGAAGGUGUGUCCUGACUUUCAUGAUGACAAGAAAGGAGACUUGAAGUCUACAGAUCAUUGGUACUUGGAUAAUGGAGCCAGUAACCAUAUGACGGGAGAUAGGCACAAGUUUCGGGAUCUUGACGAAACAGUGACCGGGAAGGUUAGAUUCGGUGAUGGAUCAGCUGUUGAAAUUCAAGGAAAGGGGCGGAGAUAGGCACAAGUUUCGGGAUCUUGACGAAACAGUGAUCGGGAAGGUUAGAUUCGGUGAUGGAUCAGCUGUUGAAAUUCAAGGAAAGGGGACAAUUGCAUUCGUUAGCAGGAAUGGCGGUCAGUGGAUGCUCCAGGACGUGUACUACAUCCCGAAGCUGUGCAACAACCUGAUUAGCCUUGGACAACUCACCGAAUCUGGACACAAAGUUAUCUUGGAUAAAGAUGAACUGGAGGUGUUCAUGAAGAGUCCGUUGCAGUUGAUCAUAAAGGUAAAACGUCAUUUGAAUCGUUUAUAUCGCAUUGAGUUACAAGUUGCGAAACCUUUAUGCUUGUUGACAAGUUUGGAAGAACCCGCGUGGUUGUGGCAUGCUUGGUUAGGCCAUGCUAAUUUUCAUUCCAUGAAGUUGUUAGUGGAUCGAAAUAUGGCAGCAGGGAUUCCUAUGUUUGAUCAUCCGAAACAGUCAUGUCAAGACUGUUUGAUGUCAAAACAGACUCGUCAGUCGUUUCCUGUCAAGAUAGAGUAUCAGGCGGAUCAACUGUUGGGUUUGUUGCAUGCUGAUUUGUGUGGACCGAUCACACCUCCUACACCAGCAGGUAGUCGGUAUUUCUUGUUGAUUGUCGAUGAUGCUUCACGAUGGAUGUGGCUGUAUACAAUCAAGACGAAGGAUGAAGUGUAUCAAACCUUUGUCAAGUUCAAAGCGGAAGCCGAGAACAUGUGUGGGGAGCGGAUCAAAAAGCUCAGAACUAAUCGUGGUGGGGAGUUUCUCUCCAAGGCCCUUAGCCGUGUUUGUGAAGAAGCAGGUAUUAUUCGACACUUGACAUCUCCAUAUUUGCCGCAGCAAAAUGGAGUGGUGAAGCGGAGGAACAGGACUGUGAUGUCAAUGACACGAUCCCUUUUGAAGAGCAUGAGUGUUCCGGGAAGAUUUUGGGGGGAGGCAGUGAGGCAUUCAGUGUAUCUACUGAAUAGAUUGCCGACAAAGUCAAUGGGAACACGUACACCGUAUGAAGUUUGGAUGGGUAGAAAACCACAUCUUGGACAUCUUCGUGUUUUCGGAUGUACUGCUCAUGUCAAGGUGACAAAGCCACACUUGAAGAAGCUUGAUGAACGAAGCCAGGCUAUGGUUUAUUUCGGUGUUGAGGAGGGAUGUAAAGCACAUCGCUUGUUUGAUCCACAACGAGGAAAACUUCAUGUCAGCCGUGAUCUUGUGUUCUUUGAGAGUGUUCCGUGGCAGUGGGAUGUGAGUAAUGGAGAAGCUUUGGAGCUCAUUGUUGAUGAGGAAAUCAGUCCAACAUGGCAAGCAUAUCCAUUGGGAGGCAAUCCAACAGCAGGUGUUGAGCAGUCUGUUAUAACACCACAGCCCGUCAUGACACUGCAGCCGACAUUGACAGAAUCUGAUGAAGUGAUGCAGCCUUCACCAACUACUCCUAUUGGUGUUUAGCCUUCAUCAUCUGAUGUCGACACAAGCGGAGAACCUUUGAAGUAUAGAGUUUGACAGAGAUCUACAACGAGACUCAACCUCGUGACGCAGCCUUCACCAACUACUCCUAUUGGUGUUCAGCCUUCAUCAUAUGAUGUCGACACAAGCGAAGAACCUUUAAAGUAUAGGAGUUUGACAGAGAUCUACAACGAGACUCAACCUAUUGAACUCGCUUAUGAAGAUGCAUUUUUGGCCGAGAUGGAGGAGCCAACGAGUUUCAAGGAGGCAAAAGACAAUCCGGCUUGGGUAGAAGCUAUGGAUAGGGAGAUUGAAUCCAUUGAAAAGAACCGUACAUGGUCGUUUGCUCCACUGUCAGCAGGAUGUAAAGCGAUUGGGUUGAAGUGGGUGUUUAAGUUGAAGAAGAACUCUGAGGGGGAAGUGAUUAAACACAAAGCCAGAUUGGUUGCAAAGGGAUAUGUCCAACAGCAUGGAGUUGAUUUUGAAGAAGUCUUUGCCCCUGUUGCAAGACUUGACACUGUUAGACUUAUCCUCGCAAUGGAGUUGAUUUUGAAGAAGUCUCUGCCCCUGUUGCAAGACUUGACACUGUUAGACUUAUCCUCGUUAUUGCUACUAAUCGGGGAUGGCUUGUUUAUCACUUGGAUGUCAAGUCCGCUUUUCUCAAUGGCGAACUUGAGGAGGACGUGUACGUUGCACAACCGGAAGGAUACGAGGUGAAGGGAAAAGCUUAUUUGGUGUUAAAGCUGCACAAGGCUUUGUACGGGCUACGUCAAGCACCUAGAGCUUGGAACACUUGUCUUGACAAGACGCUGAAACAGCUUGGCUUUGACAGAUGUGCACAUGAUCAAGCCGUGUACAAGCAAGUGAAGAAUCGUGGAAGUAUCUUGGUUGGUGUUUACGUUGAUGACCUGUUAAUAACAGGUGAUAAUCCAGAGGAGAUUGAUGUCUUCAAGCGGAGGAUGAUGAAAGAAUUCGAGAUAAGUGAUCUUGGUUUGUUGAGUUAUUACCUUGGGAUUGAGGUGAAUCAACAAAAGGAAGGCAUUCAAUUGAAGCAAGCAGGUUAUGCUAAGAAGGUCCUAAUGCAAUUUGGGUUGACAGAUUGCAAUCAUACAAGACUUCCCAUGCAGCCGAAGUCUUAUCUCCACAAGGACUCUGAUGGACAGGAGGUUGAUACAACGGAAUACAGGAGAGUCAUUGGUUGUCUCAGAUACCUCCUUCACACUCGUCCGGAUCUCUCAUAUUCGGUAGGAGUUUUGAGCAGAUUUGUGGAAAGACCAACCGUGAUGCAUCAGAGUGCAGUUAAACAAGUGUUGCGAUAUUUGAAGGGCACUCUGAACUGGGGGUUGUUCUAUCCUGCGAAUGGUGGAGAUGUUGUCUUGACAGGUUACUCUGACAAUGAUUUAGCGGGAAACCUUGACGAUCGAAAGAGCACUGCUGGAAUGGCAUUCUAUUUGAACGAUGCUCUUGUUUCUUGGAACUCACAAAAGCAGAAGACAGUGGCUUUAUCUUCAUGUGAAGCUGAAUUCAUGGCUGCUACGACAGCAGCAUGUCAAGCUAUUUGGAUCGGGAAUCUCAUGGCGGAGUUGUUAAAUAAAGAGCCAACAGCUGUUAAACUCUUUGUGGAUAACAAGUCGGCGAUUGCUCUUAUGAAAAACCCUGUGUUCUAUGGGAGGAGCAAACACAUUGACACGAGAUUUCAUUUUAUCCAUGAGUGCGUCGAGAAGGGGCAAAUCAUUGUUGAGUUCGUUCGGUCAGAAGAACAAAGAGCUGAUGCUUUGACAAAGGCGUUGUCAAUUGGGAAGUUGUCGAUGAUGCUGCAUUUGCUUGGUGUCAAGGAGCUGGAAACACACCAGGAUUAAGGGGGAGCAGGGAGCUUGUUGGUGUUAAUCUAGGUGUUUGUGUGUCAAAACAAUGGAGGGCAGUUGACAGCAGCAGCAAGACCGAGUCUUUUGGAGUGUAACUAAUGGAGUAAAUCGUGGGAGUUACGUUGGAGACUUUAUGAGGAUUUUUAGGAGUUACAUGGGAAUAAAGAGUGUGUUUAAUGCGUGGGAUUAAUGCAUUAAUGUUCAUAGUUAGUGGUUCCUUGUUUUUAGCUACUAGUUAUUGUAGUUGCUUUUAAAUAGGAUUGUUUUUCCUUUCUGCAGAAAAAAGAGAAGAGAUUAGAAGUUGAGUUUAUUUUUCUUUCCUCAAGAGAUCAUAUUUGAAUAAAACACUUUAUUCAUUGGUCCAAUUUUUCUUCCGUUUAUCUUUUCUAUUUUCAUUCUAUCUCUGCAUAUUUUUCGUUCUUCUGUUCUAUUUCUUCACUGUCACUGUCUUGACA